rnacentral:snRNA from 1 species
GAUAUGGAGAACCGAAGAUCGA